GCGUCCCUUUCCGCCAUCUCGCAAAUGGGCACCGAUCCAGGGAAAGGAUUAUCCACAACCGUAAUCAGGCACUAUUCCGUGCUUGCAUCCGCCGAAUGAUCAUCGGUGGUGAGACGGUGGAGCGGUUUUCAGCAAGGACCGCAUGAUGAAACGUUACUUUUGUAUCGUGUUCAUUGUUACCAGCGUGCUGGUGGUAAAAGGCGAUAAGCAACCUGAUUUGGUUAUCGCAGCCACUCUCUCGCAGGUCAAGUAGCGCCCAGGGCCGCCUCGUGCGGCCUUUUUU
rnacentral:sRNA from 1 species